rnacentral:tRNA from 1 species
AAGGGUGUAGUUCAAUGGUAGAGUGUGUGCUUAGCAUACAUGAGGUUCUGGGUUCAAUCCCCAGUACCUCCA